rnacentral:rRNA from 1 species
CCCCUAAAAAGCCAUCCCAGUUCGGAUUGCAGGCUGCAACCCGCCUGUAUGAAGUUGGAAUCGCUAGUAAUCGCGGAUCAGCAUGCCGCGGUGAAUACGUUCCCGGGCCUUGUACACACCGCCCGUCACACCAUGAGAGUCGGGAACACCCGAAGUCCGUAGCCUAACCGCAAGGGGGGCGCGGCCGAAGGUGGGUUCGAUAAUUGGGGUGAAGUCGUAACAAGGUAGC